rnacentral:snRNA from 1 species
UAACUUACCUGGCACAGAGGAUACCGUGAUCAAUAAGGCGGUUCCUUCACAUGGAGGCUUGGCAUUGCACUCAGCUGGGCUGAAGUGUGCGAUCUCCCCAAACGUGGGAGACUCGGGUGCGCAAUUUUUGGUAGGGGGGGACUGCGUUCGCGCGUCCCCCA